rnacentral:rRNA from 1 species
UACGUAGGGCGCAAGCGUUAUCCGGAAUUAUUGGGCGUAAAGAGCUCGUAGGCGGUUUGUCGCGUCGAUCGUGAAAACUUGGGGCUUAACCCUGAGCUUGCGGUCGAUACGGGCAUGACUGGAGUUCGGCAGGGGAGACUGGAAUUCCUGGUGUAGCGGUGAAAUGCGCAGAUAUCAGGAGGAACACCGGUGGCGAAGGCGGGUCUCUGGGCCGAUACUGACGCUGAGGAGCGAAAGCGUGGGGAGCGAACAGG